rnacentral:lncRNA from 1 species
GGUCAUUUCCUUGCACAAUUAAAUACUUAUGUACAACCUCCUUACGGACCCAUACUCAGGGCCCAAUACUUUUAGGCCCAAAUUCGGGGAGUUACAAUUCUACCCCCUUAAAGAAAUUUUGUCCUCAACAUUUUCAACUAUUAGAAUAGUCGCACAACCUAGCCUACCACAUUACGCUCUCGCUGCGCACUCUGAUCCCAAUAACGCUAACACACUUUACCUUGAACUUGGA